rnacentral:rRNA from 1 species
UCAGUUCGGAUUGCACUCUGCAACUCGAGUGCAUGAAGUCGGAAUCGCUAGUAAUCGCGGAUCAGCAUGCCGCGGUGAAUACGUUCUCGGGCCUUGUACACACCGCCCGUCACACCAUGGGAGUUGGUUUUGCCUGAAGACGGUGUGCUAACCGCAAGGAGGCAGCCGGCCACGGUAGGGUCAGCGACUGGGGUGAAGUCGUAACAAGGUAGCCGUAGGGGAACC